ensembl:lncRNA novel transcript
UGUGGAAGAAGGCCAGAAACAGCUGCUUCCUAAUUAUGAGGAGCAUGAACAGGGCUUCCCCUGCACAGGCGCUCUCUCUUUGCCUGCUGCCAUCCAUGUAAGAGGUGACUUGCUCCUCCUUGCCUUCCACCAUGAUUGUGACGCCUCCCCAGCCAUGUGGAACUGUAAGUCCAUUAAGCCUCUUCUUCCCAGUCUCAGAUAACUACAGUUAUUUCUUCCUGGUUAAAAGCAAGCCUCCAGAAUCAGACACAACAGUGUCCAAAUAUUUACUCUGCAACACAAAACUCAAGACUGAAAUCAAGAUCAGUUACAUUUAUGAUGUGAUUUGAAUGAUCCUUGGAAGGUACAAGCUGCAAAAAUUACAUCAGAAUAUUUGUUUACAAAUAAAAAUAUAUAUUGGGAAUGUG